UAGCUCAGUGGUAGAGCACUUGUCUAGCAGGCAUGAGGCCCUGGGUUCAAUCCCCAG
rnacentral:tRNA from 1 species